UUAUACUGCAAGUCGAACGAGAAAGCAUCCUUCGGGAUGUGAGUAAAGUGGCGAACGGGUGAGUAACACGUAGGUAACCUGCCUAUGAGUUGGGGAUAACAUGCCUAACGGCGUGCUAAUACCGAAUGAAGCACUGGGAUUAAUUUUCAGUGUUAAAGAUAUCCUUUGGUUAUCGCUCAUAGAUGGGCCUGCGGCUCAUUAGCUAGUUGGCGGGGUAACGGCCCACCAAGGCAACGAUGGGUAGCCGGCCUGAGAGGGUGGUCGGCCACACUGGGACUGAGAUACGGCCCAGACUCCUACGGGAGGCAGCAGUAAGGAAUAUUGCGCAAUGGUCGCAAGACUGACGCAGCAACGCCGCGUGGAUGAUGACGCUCUAUGGAGUGUAAAGUCCUGUUAGAAGGGAAGAACAGUAUGGAGUUAAAGCUUCAUAUAUGACGGUACCUUCAGAGAAAGCCCCGGCUAACUCCGUGCCAGCAGCCGCGGUAAUACGGGGGGGGCAAGCGUUGUCCGGAAUUAC
rnacentral:rRNA from 1 species